GUUCUACUGUGGACUGGGGGAAGAGAGACAGCUCCAAGUUUUCCAUGAAGUUUGGCAUCUUAUGUUUCCCAGUAGUGUCCCAAGUGACAUUAAGAGGCAAGCCCUGAAUAAGACAGCAUUUAGAUCUGUGACUUAGAGGUUGCCAGAACUUUUUUAUUUUUCUAAUGGACCGAUCAAAGCCAACAGUUGUAACAAGUGGUCUGACUCAGAAGAGAGCCGGAGCAGGAGGUGAAAUGUAUACUCACAUUAUUUACAUCAUUCUGAUUAGAGUGUGCUUAUGAACCAUUUUAUAAAGGCAAACUACAAAAGUGUCAGAGUCUCUUCCCGCAUCACUGUCAUCUUUAAUAUUAUCGUGAUUCUGGAGAUACAGGAAGCGUGAACCAAUGGAG
rnacentral:lncRNA from 1 species